AUUGAACGCUGGCGGCAUGCCUUACACAUGCAAGUCGAACGGCAGCACGGGAGCAAUCCUGGUGGCGAGUGGCGAACGGGUGAGUAAAGCAUCGGAACGUGCCCAGUCGUGGGGGAUAACGUAGCGAAAGUGACGCUAAUACCGCAUACGAUCUAUGGAUGAAAGCGGGGGAUCGCAAGACCUCGCGCGAUUGGAGCGCCCGAUAUCAGGUUAGGUAGUUGGUGGGGUAAAGGCCCACCAAGCCGACGAUAUGUAGCUGGUCUGAGAGGCCGACCAGCCACACUGGGACUGAGACACGGCCCAGACUCCUACGGGAGGCAGCAGUGGGGAAUUUUGGACAAUGGGCGAAAGCCUGAUCCAGCCAUGCCGCGUGCAGGAUGAAGGCCUUCGGGUUGUAAACUGCUUUUGUACGGAACGAAAAGGACUGCCCUAAUACGGUGGUCCCAUGACGGUACCGUAAGAAUAAGCACCGGCUAACUACGUGCCAGCAGCCGCGGUAACAC
rnacentral:rRNA from 1 species